rnacentral:misc_RNA from 1 species
UGCUUGAACUGCUGCAGGCUAUAGCAAUCUUACAAGAUGUGGUCAAAGUCAGUUUGAUAAUCCAGUUCCAGAAGUGUUUAACCCCCAGACUCAUCCCUUUUUAUAUUUAUUCAUAUUCAACACUCUGCAUGACUUUCCAUCAUUAAAUUCAGGUCCAGUGGCACCCCUAGAAGAGCACUCAAUCUGAUAAUCUCUCUCAUCAAUUAAGGACUUCAUAUAUAAGCAUGGCCGCUCAUCAGAUUCUAUAUUAGAUACAGGCUCCUGCCCUGAGCCAAAAGGCAAUUCAAAAGAUGAUGAUCCAGGAGGUUGUG